AGCGAACGCUGGCGGCAGGCUUAACACAUGCAAGUCGAGCGGGCGUAGCAAUACGUCAGCGGCAGACGGGUGAGUAACGCGUGGGAACGUGCCCUUUGGUUCGGAACAACACAGGGAAACUUGUGCUAAUACCGGAUAAGCCCUUACGGGGAAAGAUUUAUCGCCGAAGGAUCGGCCCGCGUCUGAUUAGCUUGUUGGUGAGGUAACGGCUCACCAAGGCUACGAUCAGUAGCUGGUCUGAGAGGAUGAUCAGCCACACUGGGACUGAGACACGGCCCAGACUCCUACGGGAGGCAGCAGUGGGGAAUAUUGGACAAUGGGGGCAACCCUGAUCCAGCCAUGCCGCGUGAGUGAUGAAGGCCCUAGGGUUGUAAAGCUCUUUCGGCGGGGAAGAUAAUGACGGUACCCGCAUAAGAAGCCCCGGCUAACUUCGUGCCAGCAGCCGCGGUAAAAC
rnacentral:rRNA from 1 species